rnacentral:rRNA from 1 species
CCUACGGGUGGCAGCAGUCGAGAAUCAUUCACAAUGGGGGAAACCCUGAUGGUGCGACGCCGCGUGGGGGAAUGAAGCUCUUCGGAUUGUAAACCCCUGUCAUGUGGGAGCAAAUUCAAAGGAUUGUACCACACGAGGUAGAGACGGCUAACACUGUGCCCGCAGCCCCGUUACUCCAGCGGUCUUAAGCGGUGUUCGGCAUCCCUGGGCGUAAAGGGUGAGUUGUCUGUUUCGUAAGGCGUGUGGGAAAGGCGCGGGCUCACACCGCGGCGGGCACAUGAUACUGGGAGACUAGAGUAGGGGAGGAGGAACCGGAAUGCGCGGUGUAGCAGUGAAAUGCGUAGAUAUCGAGAGGAACACUCGUGGCGAAGGCGGGGUACUGGAGAUAGACUGACGCUGAGGCACGAAGGCCAGGGGAGCGAAAGGGAUUAGAUACCCUUGUAGUC